UGUAAGCGUAUACCAAAGUUGUUGCAGUUAAAACGCUCGUAGUCGGAAUUUGGCAGUUCCGGAUGUGUGCACGUCGUGUGCGCACUUCGCGGGGAUUGCUUUUGUGGUCUUGCGUAGGAUGAGGCACUUUUAUUAGUGAACGUCCUCACGCAACCACUUUUUACUGUGAGAAAAUCAGAGUGCUCAAAGCAGGCAUUUGCCGUGAAUGUAUUAGCAUGGAAUAAUAGAAUAGGACUUGGUUCUAUUUUGUUGGUUUGUUGGGACUGAGUAAUGAUUAAGAGGGACAGUUGGGGGCAUUUGUAUUUCGGUGCUAGAGGUGAAAUUCUUAGAUUACCGAAAGACAAGCUGCUGCGAAAGCGUCUGCCGAGGAUGUUUUCAUUGA
rnacentral:rRNA from 1 species